GGCGAUGAUGAAUACUCCCGCCCCUGAGAAGUGAUGAUUGUUACGCUAUCUGAGCU
rfam:Archaeoglobus profundus DSM 5631, complete genome.